GUUCUUGAUUAUAGAAGAGAGGAAUGAAUAUAGAUAUAGAUAUAGAUAUAGAUAUAGAUAUAGAUAUAGAUAUAGAUAUAGAUAUAUAUGGAUAGUGGGCAAGGGUCUACAAAAAGAGGGGUUGUAAGGGAGGAAAGAGCCCCUUCAGGAGAAGGAGGCUGCUGCUGUGUGAAUUAGAUGAGGGAACAAGAUGAAAAAGAUCUGUUAACUCAGGAAGGGAGAGAGAGAGAGAGAGAGAGAGAGGAAAAAAGGGAGGGAAAGAAAGACAGAGGGGAAGAGCGAGAGAAAGAGAGAAAAAGAAGGGAGGGGAAGAGAGGCAGAAGGAAGGGCGAGGGACGGGCCUGAGCCUCUCAGCAGCCUGAGGGGAAUGAGCGGCCAUGGCAGCACUGGCAGCAAGGAAGGGCCCAGUCAACCACUGCUGCUGUUUUGGGCUACCGAGGCCAUUGGCGGAGGGAGGCAGGGAGGGAGGGAAGCAAGGGAUGGGCCUGUCAGCGGCCUGAGGGGAACAAGUGGCCAUGGCGGUGGCAGCAGCAAGGAAAGGCUCAUCAACCGCUUCUCCUGCUGCUCCUGUGGGGAGGAGAAGGAUCGGGGCUCAGGUGAGGGUAGAGAGAUCUCUGAGGUGAGGGGGGCUGAGGCAGGGAGAAAUCAAGUACUAGUGCGCAGAUGCUCUGUGUGGGUUAAGCUAGUUAUUUCACAUUUAGUCUGUUCUGAUUCAUUAGAUUUUAAAAGCAAAGACAUAAAAACAAUUGACUGAAACCACAGGGUUGGAUAACAUCAACAUCCGGACCAAGUGAGACCACCAAACGUGUGUGAAUAGCAGAAAGCGGUGGAGGCCAAGAAUGCGUCAUUUCCUUGAAAAAACAAGAAAGAUGUUAAAAUAAUAUUUAUAUUUUAAAUAAAUCUGAUAUACUAGAGUUAAACAUU